GGCGCCAUGGUGUAACUGGUUAACACGCGGCCCUUUCAAGGCUGAGAGUACGGGUUCGAUCCCCGUUGGCGCUACCA
rnacentral:tRNA from 7 species